rnacentral:misc_RNA from 1 species
AAGUCGUAACAAGGUUUCCGUAGGUGAACCUGCGGAAGGAUCAUUAAAAGAUUUUGGAUUAAUAAUUUUUUGGGGUUUUUAUAAACUCUAAAAAAAUAAUUCACCUUUUGUGCAUUGUUAAUAAGAUAUACUUUGGUUUGAGCUUUGAUUUCUUUAUCGAAAUCAACUUCUUGCUAACUCUAUCCUUUAAAGGACAGUUGGCUAUCAAGGUUUUUUAUCAAACUCUAUGUAUUUUGUCUGACCUAAAUAAAUAAUAAUUAAAUCAUAACUUUCAACAACGGAUCUCUUGGCUCUC